AGCGAACGCUGGCGGUAGGCCUAACACAUGCAAGUCGAGCGCCGUAGCAAUACGGAGCGGCAGACGGGAGAGUAACACGUGGGAACGUACCCUUUGGUUCGGAACAACCCAGGGAAACUUGGGCUAAUACCGGAUAAGCCCUUACGGGGAAAGAUUCAUCGCCGAAGGAUCGGCCCGCGUCUGAUUAGCUAGUUGGUGGGGUAAUGGCCCACCAAGGCGACGAUCAGUAGCUGGUCUGAGAGGAUGAUCAGCCUCACUGGGACUGAGACACGGCCCAGACUCCUACGGGAGGCAGCAGUGGGGAAUAUUGGACAGUGGGCGCAAGCCUGAUCCAGCCAUGCCGCGUAGGUGAUGAAGGCCCUAGGGUUGUAAAGCCCUUUCGGCGGGGAAGAUAAUGACGGUACCCGCAGAAGAAGCCCCGGCUAACUUCGUGCCAGCCGCCGCGGUAAAAC
rnacentral:rRNA from 1 species